GGCCCGUUCGUCUAGCGGUUAGGACACUGGCCUCUCACGUCGGCAACAGGGGUUCAAAUCCCCUACGGGUCACCC
rnacentral:tRNA from 1 species